ensembl:lncRNA
CUUAAACGCCCCUAUGGACUAACACAGGUAAACUGGACACACCUGAAGAACAGAUUGAUUAUAAAUUCAAAAGCGCCAGAAGGCCAGUGAAAAGGUAAGCAGGUGUCUAGUCAUCAUCAGUUGUAGCUACACCAAUACCCUGGACAGUUAACUACAGAGGGGAUACAAGUAUGUUUUCUUCCAUACCUGGUCCAAAGAGAGCUCCACCCGAGGAGGAGGAGCCAUAACCUGAUUUGUUUGGCUUCACUGCACCCUGUCCGGCUCCACCUGGUCCAUAACCACCAGGCCCAGUCCCAUAGCCAUCUGGUAUGGCCCCAACUCCUCCCUGGCCAAGUCCGGUCCCAGCACCCCCUCCUGGUCCAUAACCACCAACAGUUCCACCACCAGGUCCAAAUCCUGCUCCAGGACCAUAACCACCGGGGACACCUCCACCACCACCAAGCCCAGAUCCAGGCCCUGCUCCCUGGCCAAGUCCAGUCCCAGCACCCACUCCUGGUCCAUAACCACCACCGGUUCCACGGCCAGGUCCAAAUCCAGCUCCAGGACCAUAACCACCAGGGACACCUCCACCACCACCAAGCCCAGAUCCAGGCACUCCACCAACUCCUCCACCUGGUCCAUAGCCAGCUCCACCAUGUCCUUCCCCGGCACCACCUGGUCCAACCCCUCCACCUGUUCCAUAACUUCCAGCACUACCUGGUCCAUAGCCACCAGGUCCAGCUCCACCUGGUCCAUAGCCGGCCCCACCUGGUCCAUAACUGGCCCCACCUGGUCCAACUCCACCUCCAGGACCGAAGCUACCGCCAGGCCUGUAACCGCCUCCUGGUUCCCCUCCAGCCCCACCAGGCAGUCUUCCGGUUCCAAUCCCAGAUGCAGGCACUCCCUGGCUGAGCCCACCACCAGCUCCAGUGCCU